CUUGCGCGCAAGCCAAUGGGUAAAUGGUGCGGUACGCCGCCCAUGACUGGAAACCCACAGGCGAAGACAAAUCGAGUGGUGCGGGAUUACGGGUACGGCCGAUGGCGCAAGCCUUCGUCGGACCCCUCCAUCCCAGGGUGUCCCGUUCGGGUGCUUGCACCCAGCGGACAUCCCCGGAGUGCGUAGGAUGUGACCCGAAAGAUGGUGAACUAUGCCUGAUCAGGUUGAAGUCAGGGGAAACCCUGAUGGAGGACCGAAGCAAUUCUGACGUGCAAAUCGAUUGUCAGAGUUGGGCAUAGGGGCGAAAGACCAAU
rnacentral:rRNA from 1 species